GAAAAACUAUAAUGGAAUGACGAAAUUUAGAAGGUCGUAUGAUUAUAAAAAAAUACAUAACUUUUUUUUUGUGAUUGAGAAUGUAUGUUAAGUUUUGAUAUUGACAUAUUAAAAAUUUUAAGAUAUUAAAAAAAUGAUCAAUUUGAUGAUUUUUUGAACCAGAUGGUUUUAUAAAACUGACUCCGGUUCUUUGGUUCAAAUGAUUUUGGACGGUUCAACCCGAUUUUUCCAGUUUUACUCCGGUUUUGAC
rnacentral:lncRNA from 1 species